rnacentral:lncRNA from 1 species
UGCACCUCUCUGCUUCUCAGUUUCAACAGUUGCUGGUGUGCUAGAGUUGAUAGGUAUGUCAUCAGCCUCAAUGAUCACUGGGUUCAUGACAAGUGCCUCAGAAGGAAGAGAUUCAGUUCCUAUGGUCAAGUCAACUGUCUUUGAAGGUGGAAGAGUUGAUGGAACUUCCAAAGGUGUCACUCUUGGUUCAAAUUCCGUUCCAGUUACAUACAUAACAUUCGACUGAGAAACCAAUGAAUUGAUUUGAUUGGGCAGGCAUCCAGAUCGUUCAGGAGGAAAAACUGUCGGCCCUUCAGAGGUUUUAGAAUUCAAACAACUUGUUACCAAGUCAGCCACAGUGAUUAGCUCACCAGUUUGCUUAUUUUGAAGAGGCCCAGAUUCCUUGGAGUCAGAAGGAAGAGAUUCAGCCUCGGUAAUCACUGAGUUCAUGACAGGUGCCUCAGAAGGAAGAUAUUCAGUUCCUAUGGUCAAGUCAACAAUCUUUGACGGUGGUAGAGUUGAUGGAACUUCCAAAGGUGUCUCUCUUGGUUCAGAUUCAGUUUCAGNNNNNNNNNNNNNNNNNNNNUGAAUCAAUUUGAUUGGGCAGGCAUCCAGAUCCUUCAGGAGGAAAAACUGUAAGCCCAUCAGAGGUUUUAGAAUUCAAACCACUUGUUACCAAGUCAGCCACAGUGAUUAGCUCACCAGUUUGCUUAUUUUGAAGAGGCCCAGAUUCCCUGGAUUCAGAAGGAAGAGAUUCAGCCUCAAUGAUCACUGAGUUCAUGACAGGUGCCUCAGAAGGAAGAGACUCAGAUUCAGUUCCUAUGGUCAAGUCAACUGUCUUUGAAGGUGGAAGAGUUGAUGGAACUUCCAAAGGUGUCUCUCUUGGUUCAGAUUCAGUUUCAGUUACAUACAUGACAUUGGACUGAGAAACCAACGAAUCGAUUUGAUUUGGCAGGCAUCCAGAUCCUUCAGGAGGAUAAACUGUCGGCCCUUCAGAGGUUUUCGAAUUCAACCCACUUGUUACCAAGUCAGCCACAGUGAUCAGCUCACCAGUUUGCUUAUUUUGAAAAGGCCCAGAUUCCCUGGAGUCAUAUAUUCUGUUUCGCAAACCAUCAUGAGCUUCAUCC